UGGAUACACUCUUACUUUCUC
rnacentral:miRNA from 1 species